GACGAACGCUGGCGGCGUGCUUAACACAUGCAAGUCGAACGGAAAGGCCCUGCUUUUGUGGGGUGCUCGAGUGGCGAACGGGUGAGUAACACGUGAGUAACCUGCCCUUGACUUUGGGAUAACUUCAGGAAACUGGGGCUACUACCGGAUAGGAGCUCCUGCUGCAUGGUGGGGGUUGGAAAGUUUCGGCGGUUGGGGAUGGACUCGCGGUUUAUCAGCUUGUUGGUGGGGUAGUGGCUUACCAAGGCUUUGACGGGUAGCCGGCCUGAGGGGGUGACCGGCCACAUUGGGACGGGGAUAGGGCCCAGACUCCUACGGGAGGAAGCAGGGGGGAAUAUGGAACAAGGGGCGGAAGCCUGAGGCAGCAACGCCGCGGGCGGGAUGACGGCCUUCGGGUUGUAAACCGCUUUCGCCUGUGACGAAGCGUGAGUGACGGUAAUGGGUAAAGAAGCACCGGCUAACUACGUG
rnacentral:rRNA from 1 species